rnacentral:lncRNA from 1 species
UUUGUCCCUUUCUGAGAUAGAAUCUAAUUCUUGCACUUAUGAAUUUGAGAAUCUUUAAAAAUAUUUUCUCAUUUCAUAAACAUGAUUAGCUCGAGAAUCUAUAUGUUUAGGGGCUACAUGCACCUUGUCAAAUUGUUCCUUUCCAUUCUUGAUUUCCGGAAAGGUCACUGGAAUUCCUGCAAGUGUGGCUCUGCUGUUCUAGAUUGACAUUGUCGACCCUGAAGGAAGCGAUGUUGAUGUUCACAGAGACCUGCAGAGUGACCUCUCCUCCAAAUGCCUCAAAAUAAAUGAUGGCAUGCCUGAGACUACAUUUAGUGCCAUUUGGCUACCAGGCUUUUCUAAAACCUGUAUCUUCUGGUCUCUUCCAACUGGGAUGUUUUCUGUGAUGGGCAAGUACUUGCAUGGCUUCUGCUUUUGACCACUAUUGGAAAACGUUUCUGCAUCUUAUUCUGAUGAAGAAUGACAUAAAUAAGGGAUCUUACUUGUAAAUAUCCACAACAUGUUCUCCUUGGUCCAGAGCUCCAACAGCCAAGCUGCUGCUACUUGGCACCUGCAUGUCCUGGUGUUCUUAAGUGUGUGCUGUUCCACAUCACAGUGAUGGGGUGUGGGACUUUUGAGGGAAGAGACUUGGCCCACGGAGGACUAAAGCGUUGCCACAGAUGAGUUGGUCAUAGACAGUAUCAAAGGGGAGUUUGUUACUCAAGUUUGCAAAGGACAUUAUUAGACAACCCAACAAUCCCACAGCAGCGUGGCCAUGCAGAGACUUCCAUGACUUCAUCUAUCUACUUACGUUGCACCUAUCUACUCAGCAUCUACUAUGUGGGGCUAACUGUGGCACUGAAGAUACGGACAUGAGAAAGAGAGAGUGCCUUUGUUAAGGAGCUCACAUCCCAGUGAGAAAGCAAGGUUAAGAGAAUGAUACAAUUCAAGAUAAGAACAGACACAGAAAUGUGUCACGUGCUAUGGGACUGCAGAGAAAGGAGAGAAUAGAUCUCCCUGCGGGCUGGGAGGAGCAGUGGGGAAAGCUUCACAGAAAAGUACCUUUUCAAUUAGGCUUUAACUUUGGACAGUUGCUUUCAAAGCUGGAGGCAGGAGAAGGGAAGUAGGACAGGCAUGGAGGCACCAGCCACAGAGCACCUCAAGGCAGAGGAGAUUUGGGUGCUGUGCCACCUGGGAGGUGAGGCUGAUAGGACAGCUGUGCAUCAGGCAGGGAAGCUGGAGGGGUAGGUCAGACCAGAAUGACAUGGGUCCUGAAAGCUUUGUUAAUUACGUUACUCUGGAGGCAGUGGGGAGCCACUGAAGGUUUUAAAGCAUGGCCUCCUGUGCCAUGCUAAGAAACAGCUAAUUUUACUGAAGGCAAUGGCAAAGGACAUCAAGCAGGCAAGGAUUGUUCCAAUUUUCCCUUUGAUGAGCCCACUAGCACUAUGAGGCAGUAAUAAGGCUGCUGCCAUAGUUCACGUGAAGGAAGAAGAUGCUCUACCAGUGCAAAUGGAGUAGAGGUGAAAACAUAGAUUCAAGGUACAUUUCAGAGGGAGAGAAAGCAAGAUACUAUUCCUUCUUGUGUGUUGGGCGAUGGGGGGAAGGCAGAAGACAUGCAAGCCUGGAUGUUUCAAACCUAGUGAGUGGGCUAGAGCUGCUUCCAUUUAUGUUCCUAAGCACUGCUUUGGCAUUUAUACUGGAAUCCUAAGGGUCAAUAAGAUAUUUUUCCUUUUGUAGGGGUCAGAUUAGCUGCCAAAGCACUGGAGGAGUUG